UGACAGCAGAUGAAAAAGAGGAACUCCAAUUCUAUCAGGGCUCGUACCGCUGCUAUGUGGCCAAUGAGCUGGGAAACCGCCGUCUCAGACCUGGUGCACCUGAUCACCGAGCCCAUCCCAACCUUGGCCAAAGAGAAGAGGCAGAAAAGAAGAUUGUUUGAGGAGGGAGAAAGCACUGUCCUCUACUGUAGCCCUCCCAAGAGCUCUGUCGCUCCCAAAAUACACUGGAUGGACAUGCAGUUGCGCCACAUUCCUCGGAAUGAGCGGGUGACCACCAGCCUUGAUGGAAAUCUGUACUUUGCCAACUUACUAUACAGUGACCAGCAGAGAAGACUACACCUGCAAUGCCCACUACAUCAUCAACGCCAGCAUCAUCAUACCCAAAGAGCCCAUCGCCAUCAGCGUCACACCAUCAAAUUCUGUGGUGAAGAAUCGGCGG